GACACGAGGCUGAGAGGCUUCUGAGGACUGUAUUCUGAAUCUGCAGACACCAAUUAGGGAACAGAGAGUGGCGACCAACUGGCCUUCUGCGGAGGCUCCUUUUUCAGCCUCCUGGGACAUCUCAUCCUACAUAUCCCAGUUGCCGUUGCGGAGCACCGCACGACCACCUCCGGUAGAAACUGGAAGUCAGUAAUGCUUCAAUCCUGUCGGGGUCUCAGGUGGAAUUCUUGUUGGGUUUGGAGUGGAAGUUAGACCUGAUCUGAGAAGGCAGCUGGGGGUGGUGUUCAGGUCGGCGCGAGAGUGAUCUGGCCUCCGUAGAUCUGACACGCGUGUUGUGUGUCCCAGCGGCGUGUGCUGGACCACAGUGCGUACUGGAAUUAAUGCAAGACCUCACUCACUAUUAAAUACGUGGUGUCAGUGGCAAACUCAAGAAUCCAUACACAGUGUCCAGGCAACUGAAAUAUUUCUUGCUUGACUUUUCUAGAAGCAGACACUACUUAGGGUGAAGCCCUUCUACAAAUGAAGAACCAGGAAGAAGUGAAAGGUUCAGAAAGGAACCAAGUUGAUGAAAGCUAUGUCCGUGGGCUAGUGACUCACAGAUGUGCCCAUAAACUUCUGCCAAGAUCUUUGCAUUUUAAAACCAGAUGAGAUCCCGUUACUGUAGCACGAGAAGGAGCCAUGAUGACAGACGGAGCGGUGUCCAGACAUGAAGUACAUGUGGGUGACUAAAGAAUUAUGUCCAAAUCUGAGAAUUCAUCCAGGGAGAAACCCCGUGGAUGUGUUGAAUGUGGAGAGCCUUCAGCCAGAGUGCCCACCUUCUUCAGCAUCAAAGAGUAAACCCAGGAGAAAAGCCCUUUGAAUGUGCUGGUUGUGGGAAGACGUUCAGUCAGAAUGCUCAUUUUAUUCAACACCAGAGUUCAUACUGGGGAGAAAACUUAUCAAUGUAAGCAGUGUAAUAAAGCCUUCAGCCAAUGGGCACAUCUUUCUCAACAUCGGAGAUUCGUACUAAAGAGAAAAGCCUGCGGGCAGAAUGUGUCUUGCUCAUCAUCAGUGUCCUCAUCUGGAGAGUCAUCCUCAGUCAUUUCUUUCUCACCCCCAUGCCACCAAGCCCUGUAGUUCCCAGUCCGCAGUAUAUCAUUGUCGUGUGAGACACAACUAUGCCAUUUGUGUUUCUGUGAUGCUAUGAAACUUGACCAUCAUGUGCCUCUUAGUGCUUCUUAGCACUCUUAUCAGUUGUAUCUUAAAGAACCGUGUGAUCAUGUUUCUUUUCUGCUUAAAAUACUUUCUUUGAGACAUAGACAAAUUUUAAAGGCUGGCUCCACAGUGCAGGUCGUCCAGCUAGUGCUGGGUGAGUGUGUAGUCCUGGGCGUCCAGCUAGUGUGUGCUAGGUUAGUGUGUAGUCCUGGGCGUGCAGCUAGUGCUGGGUGAGUGUGCAGUCCUGGGCUUGCAGCUAGUGCUGGGUGAGUGUGCAGUC